rnacentral:misc_RNA from 1 species
AGUUUAUCUUAUAUAGUUGGUAUCAGCCCACAAAAUGACAAGCGUUAUGUGUAGGGAUUUGGGGAUAGGGGAAGUUUAUUUCUUGAAAGCUUUUGAAGUCAUGACAUCAAAGAGAAAGAAAAAGUCCCCGCCGGGACCAUGUGGUUUACCCUUCUUUGGUUCUUUUUUCGACAUCGACCUUAAAAAUAUUCACCUGGAUUUUCUGAAAUGGAAGGAACGAUAUGGAGACAUCGUGUCUUUCAAAAUGAACGGGAAGAAUUUUCUUGUACUGAAUAAUAUAGACAUUAUCAGGAAGGCAUUCGAGAGCGACGAAAUCGGCGCCUUAAUGAGUGAUCGACCAUUAAAUUUCAUUGGAGAAAAUAUAUUUUUUGGUUACAAAGACGUUCUUUUAAGGCGAUAUGACGACGAGUUUAUGAAGAUGAAGAAACUGAUGAUACGAUCAAUGAAGCUCCACGAUUAUAACUCGGACAAGUUUCAACAGCUGAUGUCAGAGGAGCUUUCACACAUACUGUCUAAAUUCCAGAAGACAGAAGGAAAGCCAACGGAGCCUAUGGACAUUUUGGUGCCGUCCUUCUGUAACAUCAUCGGAAUGCUGUUCACAGGGCGCCGAUGCCAGGACGAGGACAGGCUCCUUAAGGUCUUGGUGGACUUCGACCGAGACGGGGACACGAUGAUUCAGCCCCAGGUUCACGCAGUGUACAAACUAUUCCCCUGGAUUCGUCAUUUUCCCGGCUAUUACGGCGGUCUGUAUCGCAAUGUUAUUCGGGGGAGAACAGAACUACACAAUCUGGUCCAAGAUAUGAAGAGUAAAUAUGACAAAACCGAGGUUCAAAACUGACCGGUUCCUGGAGGAAGGAAAGUUAGUCGGAGCCGACCACCCAGCGGUCAGAAAUUUUAUUGGAUUUGGCGUCGGGAGGCGGCGGUGUGUGGGUCAGCAAAUGGCUAGAAUCAGAAUGUUCCUGUACACCACGUGUCUCUUGCAGAAAUUUAAAAUCGAGAUCCCAAAAGAUACGUCACUUCCGUCACAUGACCCAAGAGCGUUACUUUCGGAGUCCCCUGUGAUUUUACCGCCACCUAUGCAGUAUUGUUUUGUUGAGUGUUGAACGUGAAUGCUCGAGAUCUCAGUCUACAGAGACCGGUUGUGAAUGAAAGUUACUUGUUAUGUAUAAUACAUGGCUAGUCUUUUGCUUUUAUUUAUUAGAGAUAUGAUGUUAUUUAUUGAAAUCCAGAAAAUAAAUGUUAGAAAC